rnacentral:tRNA from 1 species
GGUUUCGUGGUGUAGUGGUUAUCACGUCUGCUUUACACGCAGAAGGUCCUGAGUUCGAUCCUCAGCGAAAUCA